AAUUAGAUUAUAUAUCUUCUUAGUUUGAACACUAAUUUACCACUAGUUAUCAUGAUAUGUUGAACAAUAUUGAUUCAAGAAUCUCAAAUAAAGAUAUACUAUUAUUCUAGACACACAACGGACCUGUUGAAUGAACAACAAAAAACAUCAUUCUUAUGCAUAGAAAAAUAUAUAAAUAUUGAAAAUAAGGAAUAAUAAAAGUAAAACAAUUAGAUCUCACAACCCUAAAAUUGA
rnacentral:lncRNA from 1 species